rnacentral:rRNA from 1 species
AUUGAACGCUAGCGGGAUGCCUUACACAUGCAAGUCGAACGGAGUGGCGAACGGGUGAGUAAUGUAUCGGAACGUGCCCUGUAGCGGGGGAUAACUACGCGAAAGCGUAGCUAAUACCGCAUACUAUUGGAGCGGCCGCUAUGGGAUUAGCUAGUUGGUGGGGUAACGGCUAACCAGGGCGGCGAUCCGUAGCUGGUUUGAGAGGACGACCAGCCACACGGGGACGGAGACACGGCCCAGACUCCUACGGGAGGCAGCAGUGGGGAAUUUUGGACAAUGGGGGAAACCCUGAUCCAGCCAGCCCGCGUGUGCGAUGAAGGCCUUCGGGUUGUAAAGCACUUUUGGCAGGAAAGCGGUACCUGAAGAAUAAGCCACGGCUAACUACGUGCCAGCAGCCGCGGUAAUUC